GGAAAUGUAGGGAAGAAGAACUUUGGCAAUUUAGCAUCAUGAAACACCAAGAGGUAGAAUUGUAGGGAAGAAGGACCUUGGCAAUUUGGUAUCAUGAAACACCAAGAGGCUGAAUUGCAGCGGAAGAACGUUGGCAAUUUGGCAUCAUGAAACACCAAGGUG